AAAUUGAAGAGUUUGAUCAUGGCUCAGAUUGAACGCUGGCGGCAGGCCUAACACAUGCAAGUCGAGCGGUAGCACAGAGAGCUUGCUCUCGGGUGACGAGCGGCGGACGGGUGAGUAAUGUCUGGGAAACUGCCUGAUGGAGGGGGAUAACUACUGGAAACGGUAGCUAAUACCGCAUAACGUCGCAAGACCAAAGUGGGGGACCUUCGGGCCUCAUGCCAUCAGAUGUGCCCAGAUGGGAUUAGCUAGUAGGUGGGGUAACGGCUCACCUAGGCGACGAUCCCUAGCUGGUCUGAGAGGAUGACCAGCCACACUGGAACUGAGACACGGUCCAGACUCCUACGGGAGGCAGCAGUGGGGAAUAUUGCACAAUGGGCGCAAGCCUGAUGCAGCCAUGCCGCGUGUGUGAAGAAGGCCUUCGGGUUGUAAAGCACUUUCAGCGGGGAGGAAGGCGAUAAGGUUAAUAACCUUGGCGAUUGACGUUACCCGCAGAAGAAGCACCGGCUAACUCCGUGCCAGCAGCCGCGGUAAUACGGAGGGUGCAAGCGUUAAUCGGAAUUACUGGGCGUAAAGCGCACGCAGGCGGUCUGUCAAGUCGGAUGUGAAAUCCCCGGGCUCAACCUGGGAACUGCAUUCGAAACUGGCAGGCUAGAGUCUUGUAGAGGGGGGUAGAAUUCCAGGUGUAGCGGUGAAAUGCGUAGAGAUCUGGAGGAAUACCGGUGGCGAAGGCGGCCCCCUGGACAAAGACUGACGCUCAGGUGCGAAAGCGUGGGGAGCAAACAGGAUUAGAUACCCUGGUAGUCCACGCCGUAAACGAUGUCGAUUUGGAGGUUGUGCCCUUGAGGCGUGGCUUCCGGAGCUAACGCGUUAAAUCGACCGCCUGGGGAGUACGGCCGCAAGGUUAAAACUCAAAUGAAUUGACGGGGGCCCGCACAAGCGGUGGAGCAUGUGGUUUAAUUCGAUGCAACGCGAAGAACCUUACCUGGUCUUGACAUCCACAGAACUUUCCAGAGAUGGAUUGGUGCCUUCGGGAACUGUGAGACAGGUGCUGCAUGGCUGUCGUCAGCUCGUGUUGUGAAAUGUUGGGUUAAGUCCCGCAACGAGCGCAACCCUUAUCCUUUGUUGCCAGCGGUUAGGCCGGGAACUCAAAGGAGACUGCCAGUGAUAAACUGGAGGAAGGUGGGGAUGACGUCAAGUCAUCAUGGCCCUUACGACCAGGGCUACACACGUGCUACAAUGGCAUAUACAAAGAGAAGCGACCUCGCGAGAGCAAGCGGACCUCAUAAAGUAUGUCGUAGUCCGGAUUGGAGUCUGCAACUCGACUCCAUGAAGUCGGAAUCGCUAGUAAUCGUAGAUCAGAAUGCUACGGUGAAUACGUUCCCGGGCCUUGUACACACCGCCCGUCACACCAUGGGAGUGGGUUGCAAAAGAAGUAGGUAGCUUAACCUUCGGGAGGGCGCUUACCACUUUGUGAUUCAUGACUGGGGUGAAGUCGUAACAAGGUAACCGUAGGGGAACCUGCGGUUGGAUCACCUCCUUACCUUAAAGAA
rnacentral:rRNA from 1 species